UGGGGAAUAUUGCACAAUGGGCGCAAGCCUGAUGCAGCCAUGCCGCGUGUGUGAAGAAGGCCUUCGGGUUGUAAAGCACUUUCAGCGGGGAGGAAGGCGGUGAGGUUAAUAACCUCAUCGAGUGACGUUACCCGCAGAAGAAUCACCGGCUAACUCCGUGCCAGCAGCCGCGGUAAUACGGAGGGUGCAAGCGUUAAUCGGAAUUACUGGGCGUAAAGCGCACGCAGGCGGUCUGUCAAGUCGGAUGUGAAAUCCCCGGGCUCAACCUGGGAACUGCAUUCGAAACUGGCAGGCUAGAGUCUUGUAGAGGGGGGUAGAAUUCCAGGUGUAGCGGUGAAAUGCGUAGAGAUCUGGAGGAAUACCGGUGGCGAAGGCGGCCCCCUGGACAAAGACUGACGCUCAGGUGCGAAAGCGUGGGGAGCAAACAGG
rnacentral:rRNA from 1 species